rnacentral:rRNA from 1 species
GAUGAACGCUGGCGGCGUGCCUAAUACAUGCAAGUCGAGCGAACGGACGAGAAGCUUGCUUCUCUGAUGUUAGCGGCGGACGGGUGAGUAACACGUGGAUAACCUACCUAUAAGACUGGGAUAACUUCGGGAAACCGGAGCUAAUACCGGAUAAUAUUUUGAACCGCAUGGUUCAAAAGUGAAAGACGGUCUUGCUGUCACUUAUAGAUGGAUCCGCGCUGCAUUAGCUAGUUGGUAAGGUAACGGCUUACCAAGGCAACGAUGCAUAGCCGACCUGAGAGGGUGAUCGGCCACACGGGAACUGAGACACGGUCCAGACUCCUACGGGAGGCAGCAGUAGGGAAUCUUCCGCAAUGGGCGAAAGCCUGACGGAGCAACGCCGCGUGAGUGAUGAAGGUCUUCGGAUCGUAAAACUCUGUUAUAGGGAAGAACAUAUGUGUAAGUAACUGUGCACAUCUUGACGGUACCUAAUCAGAAAGCCACGGCUAACUACGUG